rnacentral:lncRNA from 1 species
AAAGAGGGGCAAAGAUUCGUUAGGGUUUUGGCUGCCCCUGCCAUCGUGAAGAGAAAGUUGCAGAGUAAAGAAAGAAGCAGGGUUUAGGACUUCGACGGCUACUGUUGUUUCAGAUACAUUACAUUUACAACACAAGUCUACAUAAGGUAAUUUUAUUUUCUCACGUGCUAUGCAUACUUGUUUAUAUUAUGAUAAGAUUUAAAGCAAGAGAUUUAUUUUAACAUGUGCUUUAGAAAAUCAAAUUUUUAACGUUAAAUCUUGUCACUAUUGAUUGUGACGUCGAUAAUUGCACUUUCAUAUAAAUACGACCUUUUGCAUUGUUUAAAUGAGACAAAAAAAAAGGAUGAUAUUGUUCACAAACAGUAGUCUUUUAGCAAACGGGGAAAAAUAUAUUGAGUUUUGUUGUUGGUAAACACAUAUGAGUAAUUUUUCAGGUUUUCCAAUCACGACGAAUAUACAAAAAUUAUGAAACUGUAUGUGUAAUAGCAUCUUCAGGACCGCUUUAAAUUAGUGAAAAUUUGAGUUUGAGUAUGUUACGUUACGCGACCUUGUGAAUAUGGUUGAUACCUAUAGAUUUGCUGCAAUGAUCGAUAGUUUGAACAAGCGAGAAGGAAGAGGACGCUUUGAAUCUGUUUGUUUUAAAAAAAAAAAUAUUAUUUACUUCUUAAAAAAAUACUUAUAUAAAAAAUACUAAUUUUAAAAUUAAUUUUUUUAAAUUUAAACAAACUCAUCAAAGAUUAUCAAACUCGAGAGUUUACUUCUGAGAGUUCCAUAAACUAAUUAAACAUUUCAACAAUAUAAUAAAGGAUAAAUUUUUCAGUUUGGGACUUAUUUACAAACUAAUUCCCGAAAUGGUGUCCUUUUGAAACAUUUUUUCAGGGGGUGUUAUUUUUGCACCUACCCAACAUGCAAGUUGCAGGUGGGAGUGGCGACUUCGUGCAUGAGCGACACAUGGCAAGCGCUGGGGGACGUGCCAAGCUCGUUGGCGAUUUCAAGCUGCCACACUGGAAUCGCUGGUCCUGCUGGCGCCACCAGCCUAGGGUCAGCUUUUCAGGCAGGUUUCAGCUUUUUCAGAUAGCAGUGUAGCGCUAGCAGUGUUGGCGAUUUAGGAUAAGUAAGAAAACGUCACUCCCUUUGACGUUUUAGGCUGUUUAAAACGUCACUCCCUUUGGCAUUUUAGGGUGUUUAAAUACCCCUCCCCUUUCAACAUUUUUUCAACGCUUUAGUUUACCUCUACAACUUCAUUUCCUUUGUUAGCUUUGGCAAUCAAAAAUUUUAUGUGGUAUGAAAUAUUUUUUUAAAGUACGUUUUAUAUUUCAUAGACUUGUUAGUGUGUGUUUAAAUGUGUAAAAUAAAAGAAAAUUUAUGUAAUAAUGUUUAUUUGAAGAAAAUUUUAUCAGUGAAAAUAAAAUAUUUUGAAUAUGAAAUUUGUAGUAUUUUUUUAAUUAGAUUAGGUUGGUGUUGAUGAUUUAUUAGUGUGUUAAUAAUUGAUGAACGUUUGAACUUUCAUUUAAAAAAAUUUGUAGAUCAUAUUUAUUUGAAGUAUUUUGAGUACGAAAUUUAUUUUAAUAUGAAGUUGUAGUAUUUUUUUAAUUAGAUUAGGUUCAUUUGUUGGUGUGUUAAAAAUUUAUAAGCGUUCAAGUUGAAAGUAUUAUUCAAUGAUACUUUGUUGUUUCUGGUAUCAUAUUUAUUUUAAUAUAUUUGUAGUAAUUUUUUAAUUACCUAUUUUCAUUUUGAAGUUAUUAUUGUUAAGAUUAAUUAUUUAUACUACUAACUUCGUUCAUGAAUUAUUUUAUUUUGUCUUUAAAAUUACUAUCUUAAAAUUAUUCAUUUUUUUUAAGUGUGUCCUAUGAAAUUAAUUUGAAGUUAAUUAAAUUUUUUUAAAAGAAAAAUUGGAUGUGAAGUUCCAAUAAAGGAACCUUUUGUGAUUACAUUUUAUUAGUUUGAAUUUAAAGUUUUAUAAAAUCGUUCGUGUUAUUUAAGUGUGUUGAUGUGAAAUUUAUUUAAAAUUAAUAAUUUUGAUUACAUGUUGAUUAGUUUAAAAUUACUACAUUGAAAUCGUUAAUGUUUUUAAAGUGUGUUAAUGUGAAAUUGAUUUGAAGUUAUUUUUUUUAAAAUAAAGUUUUAUUUUGAAGUUCCAGCAAUGACUUUUUGUGAUACUCAUUUUAUAAUUUAUUUGACGUGUUAAAAUAUUAUUUUUAUAGGUACACGAUGAAUUCAGUUAUAACAUUGUUGUAUCUCAAUGGAAG